rnacentral:rRNA from 1 species
AUACAGAGGGUGCGAGCGUUAAUCGGAUUUACUGGGCGUAAAGCGUGCGUAGGCGGCUUAUUAAGUCGGAUGUGAAAUCCCCGAGCUUAACUUGGGAAUUGCAUUCGAUACUGGUGAGCUAGAGUAUGGGAGAGGAUGGUAGAAUUCCAGGUGUAGCGGUGAAAUGCGUAGAGAUCUGGAGGAAUACCGAUGGCGAAGGCAGCCAUCUGGCCUAAUACUGACGCUGAGGUACGAAAGCAUGGGGAGC